GGGGGGGAGGGGACGCACAGGGACCAAGGGACAACAGGGACACCAGUAUCACCAGUAUCACCAGUAUCACCAGUAUCACCAGUCCCAGUGUCACCAGUAUCACCAGUAUCACCAGUCCCAGUGUCCCCAGUGUCCCCAGUCCCAGUGUCCCAAGUCCCAGUAUCACCAGUGACACCAGUCCCAGUGUCACCAGUAUCACCAGUGUCCCCAAUCCCAGUAUCACCAGUGACACCAGUGUCCCCAGUCCCAGUGUCACCGGUGUCACCAGUGACACCAGUGACACCAGUCCCGGUGUCCCCAGUAUCCCCAGUGUCACCAGUGUCACCAGUGUCCCCAGUCCCAGUGUCCCCAGUCCACCCAGUCCCAGUCCCCCCAGUCCCAGUGUCCCCAGUGUCACCAGUAUCCCCAGUGUCCCCAGUCCCAGUGUCACCAGUGACACCAGUGACACCAGUGACACCAGUAUCACCAGUCCCAGUGUCCCCAGUCCCAGUGUCACCAGUGUCCCCAGUGUCCCCAGUGUCCCCAGUCCCAGUGUCCCCAGUCCCAGUGUCACCAGUGACACCAGUCCCAGUGUCCCCAGUCCCAGUGUCCCCAGUGUCCCCAGUGUCCCCAGUCCCAGUGUCACCAGUAUCACCAGUGUCCCCAGUGUCCCCAGUCCCAGUGUCACCAGUAACACCAGUGACACCAGUCCCAGUCCCCCCAGUCCCAGUGUCCCCAGUGUCCCCCAGUCCCAGUGUCCCCAGUAUCACCAGUCCCAGUGUCCCCAGUCCCAGUGUCCGCAGUCCCAGUAUCACCAGUGUCCCCAGUCCCAGUAUCCCCAGUCCCAGUAUCACCAGUGACACCAGUCCCAGUGUCCCCAGUGUCACCAGUAUCCCCAGUGUCCCCAGUGUCCCCAGUCCCAGUGUCACCAGUGUCCCCAGUCCCAGUAUCCCCAGUUCCAUCCCAGUAUCCCCAGUUCCAUCCCAGUUCCAUCCCAGUUCCCUCCCAGUUCCUUCCCAGUUCCGUCCCAGUUCCAUCCCAGUUCCCUCCCAGUAUCCCCAGUUCCAUCCCAGUUCCAUCCCAGUUCCCUCCCAGUAUCCCCAGUUCCAUCCCAGUUCCCUCCCAGUAUCCCCAGUUCUCUCCCAGUAUCCCCAGUUCCGUCCCAGUUCCAUCCCAGUUCCAUCCCAGUAUCCCCAGUUCCCUCCCAGUUCCCUCCCAGUAUCCCCAGUUCCAUCCCAGUUCCCUCCCAGUUCCCUCCCAGUAUCCCCAGUUCCAUCCCAGUUUCACCAGUUCCAUCCCAGUUCCAUCCCAGUAUGCCCAGUUCCGUCCCAGUUCCAUCCCAGUUCCCUCCCAUUUCCCUCCCAGUAUCCCCAGUUCCCUCCCAGUUCCAUCCCAGUAUCCCCAGUUCCAUCCCAGUUCCAUCCCAUUUCCCUCCUGGUUCCAUCCCAGUAUCCCCAGUUCCAUCCCAGUUCCCUCCCAGUAUCCCCAGUUCCAUCCCAGUAUCCCCAGUUCCCUCCCAGCUCCAUCCCAGUAUCCCCAGUUCCGUCCCAGUUCCAUCCCAGUAUCCCCAGUUCCCUCCCCGUAUCCCCAGUUCCCUCCCAUUUCCAUCCCAGUUCCAUCCCAGUUCCCUCCCAGUAUCCCCAGUUCCCUCCCAGUUCCCUCCCAGUUCCCUCCCAGUAUCCCCAGUUCCCUCCCAGUUCCAUCCCAGUAUCCCCAGUUCCCUCCCAGUAUCCCCAGUUCCCUCCCAGUAUCCCCAGUUCCCUCCCAGUAUCCCCAGUCCCAUCCCAGUUCCCUCCCAGUAUCCCCACUUCCGUCCCAGUAUCCCCAGUUCCAUCCCAGUAUCCCCAUUUCCCUCCCAGUUCCAUCCCAGUAUCCCCAGUUCCCUCCCAGUUCCCUCUCAGUUCCAUCCCAAUAUCCCCAGUUCCAUCCCAGUAUCCCCAGUUCCGUCCCAGUCCCAUCCCAGUUCCCUCCCAGUAUCCCCAGUUCCCCCCCAGUUCCCUCUCAGUUCCAUCCCAAUAUCCCCAGUUCCAUCCCAGUAUCCCCAGUUCCGUCCCAGUUCCAUCCCAGUUCCCUCCCAGUAUCCCCAGUUCCCUCCCAGU
rnacentral:lncRNA from 1 species